GCCUGCAUGAUGAAACUGGAAAACAUGACGGACUUAGAAUCCGUUGGUUGUAAUGACCUUGCAAGUUCAAGUCUUGCUGCAGGCACCA
rnacentral:tRNA from 1 species